rnacentral:tRNA from 1 species
AAAUAAGAAGCAAAAUAUUGCAGUUAACUUCGACCUAAUCCAUUGAUGAUAAAAUUCAUCCUUAUUUU